GACGAACGCUGGCGGCGGGCUUAACACAUGCAAGUCGAACGGAAAGGCCCUGCUUUUGUGGGGUGCUCGAGUGGCGAACGGGUGAGUAACACGUGAGUAACCUGCCCUUGACUUUGGGAUAACUUCAGGAAACUGGGGCUAAUACCGGAUAGGAGCUCCUGCUGCAUGGUGGGGGUGGGAAAGUUUAGGCGGUUGGGGAUGGACUCGCGGCUUAUCAGCUUGUUGGUUGGGUAGUGGCUUACCAAGGCUUGGACGGGUAGCCGGCCUGAGAGGGUGACCGGCGACAUUGGGACUGAGAUACGGACCAGAGUCGUACGGGAGGCAGCAGUGGGGAAUAUUGUCCAAUGGGCGGAAGCCUGAUGCAGAAACGCCGCGUGCGGGAUGACGGCCUUCGGGUUGUAAAAAGCUUUCGCCUGUGACGAAGCGUGAGUGACGGUAAUGGGUAAAGAAGCACCGGCUAACUACGUG
rnacentral:rRNA from 1 species